UCUGGAUCUUGGAAACAAACUGACCAGAAAAGGCUUGGGAUUUGGAAAGUGUAAAUCAGCCUAACGAGGCGGGAAGAAGGUAUCCCCUCUCCAUAGUGCACAUUGAUGAAAUCAACACUUGGAAAUAUCAGAAGUACCAAGAACCAGCACCUCCAGGGACAGCAUCACAAUUGACACGCUAGUAUUUAUGUUCUGGAAUAUGACUCUAAUCAACUGCAAUCCUCGAGGCUUCCAGAUAAAAUGCUGUUUCAAGAUUUUAAGUAUAAUAGGACAGGGCUGGCCAAGUGUGAGAAGACAGAGUUAAAGGAGUGAGCAGGUGUCUGGUAGAUAAUACAAGUGUUUAUGGCAAAACAGAGAUUACACAUAGCAGAUAAAAAGGGAACUCACUCUAGAGAACCUAGACAACCUAGGGAGAAAGGCACAGGCUUGUCCUGGUAAUCUAGACAGGAGAUGCCAAAGCCUGGGGAUCAGUACCUCAGAAAAGGAAGCACUGCCCAGUCAAUACAGGACACUCAGGGCAAACUAGGCCCAUAAUCUGAGGCAUCUGAACCAGACCUUUGAUGACUGUCUGCUGGGAGAAUGGCUUGUUCUUAGAACCAGACAGGCAGUCAGACACCUAUAAGAAAAACUGUCCAGACUGGGAUAAGGCAGUAAUGCUGGGCCCUCAGGAGGUCCUCACAGGAAGAACUUAGGUCAGAUGUGCAGAUGGCAAACAUUUUUAUGGCUGGGUGGGAGUUUCUUGGAAUCCAGGAGCAAUCCAGGCAUCACCACCAGUGCUCAGCCCUAAAGGGAAGCAAUGAAAGAAUAUAGGGCCCGCUUUCAAUGAGAGUGAUAAUGUGCUGUGGAAGCAGUUGUGAUGACACCAAGCAUGCCUAGAGGCAAAUGGUCUAGACCUGGGGAAGGCCAAUCUCCUGCUUUCAGUCAAAAAGAAUAACAAACUGCAUUAUAAGGAACUGUUGCCCUUCUGUUCUGAGGUAGACAACCUUCACGUUUCUUUCUCUUAUGGCUCUUAUUUUUGCCUUGCAGCACAAAUGGCAUUUAUGUAUGAGAAAGAAGGGCUAUCCUUCCC
rnacentral:lncRNA from 1 species